AUCGCUUCUCGGCCUUCUGGCUAAAUUCAUGUGUAGUGUCUGUUUUUGCCAGCUUAAUAUCUGUCAUGCUGGGCAUUGCCUGGCACCAAUAUUAAACAGAUUUUUGCUUCUCCAGUUAACACCAAAGCUUGCUUCGUUUGACUCAUGGAUUGACCCGGUCUUACAAUUCAGGUAUGAUCAUGUCUGGUCCAGGUAUG